rnacentral:rRNA from 1 species
UCAAGCGAACAAGAGCGCAAGGGGAAUGCCUUGGCAUCAGGAGCCGAUGAAGGACGUGAUAAGCUGCGAAAAGCUUCGGGGAGCUGCAAAUAAGCAUUGAUCCGGAGAUGUCCGAAUGGGGAAACCCACCUGAGCAAACCUCAGGUAACGCAUGGUGAAUCAAAUAGCCAUGCGUGGGGAACCGCCUGAACUGAAACAUCUAAGUAGGGCGAGGAAAAGUAAUCAACCGAGAUUCCGAAAGUAGUGGCGAGCGAAAUCGGAAGAGGCCAAACCGUACGUAGCAAUAUGUGCGGGGUUGUGGACGGCAAUGUCGGUAAGCUUCGUUAGACGAAUGGUCUGGGAAGGCCAGUCAAAGAGUGUGAGAGCCACGUAGUCGAAAAUGAAGGGAACGUAGCCGGAUCCAGAGUACCGCGGGGCACGAGGAAUCCCGUGGGAAGCCGGGGGGACCACCCUCCAAGCCAAAAUACUACCUGAUGACCGAUAGAGGAGCAGUACCGUGAGGGAAAGGUGAAAAGCACCCCGGGAGGGGAGUGAAAUAGUACCUGAAACCUUGUGCUUACAAGCAGACAUAGCCCGUUAAAGGGUGGUGUCGUACUUUUUGUAGAACGGUCCGGCGAGUUAUAGUAACUGGCGAGCUUAAGGUAUUCAGUACCGGAGGCGAAGGGAAACCGAGUGUGAAUAGCGCGUGAAGUCAGUUGCCAUAGACCCGAAACCAGGUGACCUAGCCAUGUCCAGGAUGAAGUGGAGGUAAAGCUCCAUGGAGGUCCGAACCCACGUACGUUGCAAUGUCCGGGGAUGAGGUGUGGCUAGCGGUGAAAUUCCAAACGAACUUGGAGAUAGCUGGUUCUCCCCGAAAUAGCUUUAGGGCUAGCGUAGGUAAUGAGUUUCACGGAGGUAAAGCACUGUCUGAGCUAGGGGGCGAUAAGCUUACUGAACUCUAACAAACUAAGAAUGCCGUAGAAAUGCUUACCUGCAGUCAGACUGCGAGUAAUAAAAUCCGUGGUCAAAAGGGAAACAGCCCAGACCCACAGCUAAGGUCCCAAAUAUACGCUAAGUGGAAAACGAUGUGAGAUUGCAUAAACAACCAGGAUGUUGGCUUAGAGGCAGCCACUCGUUCAAAGAGUGCGUAAUAGCUCACUGGUCGAGUGAUCUUGCGCGGAAAAUUUAACGGGGCUAAGCGUAUAACCGAAGCUUGGGAAUGUCGAAAGACAUUGGUAGGGGAGCGUCGUGUAUGGGGUGAAGUCGCAUCGGAAGGAGCGGUGGACUGUACACGAGUGAGAAUGCCGGAAUGAGUAGCGAGAAUUAUGUGGGAAUCAUAAUGGCCGAAAAUCUAAGGUUUCUUGGGGAAGGUUCGUCCGCCCAAGGUUAGUCGGGAGCUAAGGCGAGGCCUAACGGCGUAGUCGAUGCACAUACGGUAGAAAUUCCGUAACCACCGAACUUUAAGCAUAAGGGACGCUUUCAUUAAGGUUAUCCCGGGCGAUGGUUGCCCCGGGCGUAAGGGACCGAAAUAUAGUAGGGAAGUAACUGGCGUGAGAGACGAGAAAAGCUUAUGUGUAUACUAAGGUGCCCGUACCGCAAACCGACACAGGUAGAUGGGAUGAGUAUUCUAAGGCCAACGGGAGAAGGGUUGUUAAGGAACUCGGCAAAUUGGCCCCGUAACUUCGGGAUAAGGGGCGCCUGCGAGAGCAGGCCGCAGUGAAAAGGCCCAAGCGACUGUUUAGCAAAAACACAGCUCUCUGCUAAAUCGAAAGAUGAUGUAUAGGGGGUGACGCCUGCCCGGUGCUGGAAGGUUAAGGGGAGUGCUUAGCGCAAGCGAAGGUGCGAACUUAAGCCCCAGUAAACGGCGGCCGUAACUAUAACGGUCCUAAGGUAGCGAAAUUCCUUGUC